UACGGAGGGUGCAAGCAUUGAUCGGAAUUACUGGGCGUAAAGGGCGCGUAGGCGGCCAUGUAAGUCAGAUGUGAAAUUCCGGGGCUCAACCCCGGAGCUGCAUUUGAAACUACAUGGCUAGAGGACAGUUAGGGAAAACGGAAUUCCACGUGUAGCGGUGAAAUGCGUAGAUAUGUGGAAGAACACCGGUGGUGAAGACGGUUUUCUGGGCUGUAACUGACGCUGAGGCGCGAGAGCUAGGGGAGCAAACAGG
rnacentral:rRNA from 1 species